UACGGAGGGUGCAAGCGUUAUCCGGAUUUACUGGGUUUAAAGGGUGCGCAGGCGGAUAUGUAAGUCAGUGGUGAAAUCUCCGGGCUUAACCCGGAAACUGCCGUUGAUACUAUAUAUCUUGAAUGCUGUGGAGGUAAGCAGAAUAUGUCAUGUAGCGUUGAAAUGCUUAGAGAUGACAUAGAAUACCUAUUGCGAAGGCAGCUUACUACGCAGAUAUUGACGCUCAUGCACGAAAGCGUGGGGAUCAAACAGG
rnacentral:rRNA from 1 species